AAGGGCACCAGGAAUUUCUAGAGAGUUCUACAGAGGAAGGAAGUGGCGUCAUCAUUGCUAUACAGUCAGAAAGUGAAAGUACAGGGCAGAGUACAGUAGAGAGGCGGACAGAAACAUUAGCCUAAAACUUAGAAAUGCUGUUUAAAACUACACUUACACCUGUUGCUUUUCUACUCCUUUAUCUCCAUCCUUUCGGCUCUCUGUUUGGGCGCGCUUGUUCCUGUCAAGAUGUCAAAAACGGGGGAAAUUAUGUCUACUCAGCCAAAGAUAUUUUAAAUAAGACCGAUUACACAACACUGAUAUCUGAACAGUGGGAUGUUCAGGGUGUGUUGGUAGCUGUUAUAGACUAUGAGCCCUAUAGCUCAUCACACAAUGAGAGCGUGGUUCUGGCGGUGGCCACCGGGGGCAUUAGGCUUCACUGUCCUGUGAGC